AUGUUACUGAGUGUGGGAGAGGAAUGGCGCCGGCGGCUGAAGGAACAAGAACAGAAACCGCUGGAAAAGCUGAGCAGGUCCGGCAGCUCGUGUUGAGAGAAAUGUGAGGACGUGUUUCGGGUCCGGUGAUCCUUCUUCAGAACAGGACCAGGUUUCAGAAACAUCCCGGGGAGGUCGCCAGGUCCGAGCGCCAAGACCUGGCUCCUGCCCCCGGGGAGAGGAGACAGUGAGACAGGUGUGACCUAUUUGGAUAGGGCAAGGCUUACCAGGGUAGCCCACAGCACAACUGGUAUCAAACUGGCACACAACACCUUUACAGGAAGGUGUCAAAGGAGGUUAAAGCUUCAGGAGGAAUGAAGCACAGCUGAGAACAGACAACAACUGUGUGAGUACAGGAAGAUCAACCAAGGACAAAGAAACCAGAAAUCCGAGCUGACACCAGACUGCCCCAUGGUCAGUGCUUUGGUUAGCAGUGUCAACCCUCUACCUUUACCUAGCUUCCCAUUCGACUUGAAUGCCACAUCUGCCCUCAAUAUUUAGGAUCCAAUCCUUGUCAUCCUGAAGCUAUGUCUCUGUAAGGAGUCUCAGAUCAUAAUUAUUCUCUUCAAUGUGAGCAGUCAAUUCAUUCACUUUUGUUACGUUGCAGCGCUAUUACGACACAGGGUAACCCCCUCUGCUAAAUUAAACCAGCAAUAUAGAGAUGAUUCAACCCAUGCAGUAAUCUGUAAAAGUUCAAGAGGCAAAGAACUAUCCCAAAGGUAAAUAUUUAAAGUAAAAAUUUAACAACUUCACUCUU